GGCACAGUGGCUUAUGCUUGUAAUCCCAGCAGUUUCGGAGGCUGAGGCAGGCAGAUUGCUUUGAGCUCACGAGUUCGAGACCGGCCUGGGCAACACAGCGAACCCCGUCUGUACAAGGUCCUCCUCCAACUCCUCCUCUCUGCAUGCGCCUCAGAGCCGGUACCAAGAACUGGAAGUAGCCCUGGACUCAAGCUCCGCAACAAUCAAUCAACUCAAUGAAAACGUAGAAUCAUUGGAGAAUCCAAGGAUCUGACCAGCCACCUGCAAUAUUCCUUGCAGCGUAUUGGAGAGUUGGAGCAGGCUCCCUCUGCUGUCUCCAUGCAGCAGCAGGAAGAGGACAGGGAGAUGAAGGAGGACAUCUGGACACUGAGGAGGAGGAGGUGCCUCAGCCCAUGUCAAGCAUCCUGGAGGACCUGGAGAGCUGGGAGGCCAUGUCCAGAAAUUGGAAAAGAACAUCUCCAGGUCCCUUGCUUGAAGACCUGGCCAGAGCUGGUGCCAGGCUACAGACACCUGGAAGGAGGCGAGAAGGGCACACUCGCUUUCCCCUUGUCCUGGGAGGCCCACACACCAACAUUGCCACCACUGCUGCCCCCGAGGAGCACAGCCAAAGUAGACACACACAGGAAAAGGGGAAGGGUUGAGUGAACCUGGGACACUGCACCCCAACUUUAGUGUAUUUUUGAAUUCAAUUUGCUAAUAUGUAGUGGAGGAUUUUUGCAUCAGUAUUCAUCAGUGAUAUUAACCUGUAGUUCUCUGUUUUGGAUGUAUCUUUGGUUUUGGUAUCAGAGUAAUGCUAGCCUUGUAGAAUGAGUUUGGAAUAGUUGGGUAAGUUCUCUAGUUUUGGAAUAGUUUGGGUAAGGUUGGUGUGAGUUUUUCUUUAAAUGUUUGGUAAAAUUCAGCAGUGAAGCACUAGGUCCCAGAUUUUCUUUGCUGGGAGACUUUUUAUUACCAUUUCGAUCUCAUUAUUUGUUACUGUUCAAGUUUUGGAUUUCAUCAUGGUUCAAUCUUGAUAGGCUGGAUGUGUCUAGAAAUUGAUCCAUUUUAGUUGGUUUUCUUAUUUCUUUGUAUAUAGUUGCUUAUAAUAGCCACUAGUGAUCCUGUGAAUUUUUGCGGUAUCAGUUGUAAUGUUUCCUUUUUCAUCUUUGAUUUUAUUCAUGUGGGUCUUCUUUUUGUCUUAGUCUUAGUUAGGCUAAAAGUUUGUCAAUGUUGUUUAUCUUUUCCAAAAACCAACUAUUCUUUUCAUGGAUGCUUUGUUUUUUCAUUUCAAUUUCAUUUAUUUCUGUUCUGAUCUGUAUUAUUUCUUUUCUUCUAAUAAUUUUGGGUUUGCUUUGCUCUUGCUUUUCUAUUUCUUUAAGGUGCAUUGUUAUGUCGUUUAUUUGAUGCUUUUCUACUUUUUAAAAGUGGGUGUUUAUAGCCAUAAAAUUCCUCUUAGUACUGCUUUUGUCGUAUCCCGUAGGUUCUGACAUGUUGUGUUUCCAUUAUCAUCUAAGAAAGAUUUCAGUUUCCUUCUUAAUUUCUUCAUGACCCCACUGGUCAUUCCAGAGCAUAUUAUUUAAUCUCCAUGUGUUUGUAUAGUUUCCAACAUUUGUCUUGUUACUAACUUCUAGUUUUAUUCCAUUGUGAUCAGAGAAGAUGUUUGAUAUUAUUUCAAUUUUUAAAAAUGUUUGAAGACUUGUCGUUUGACCUAAGAUAUGGUCUGUCCUUGAGAAUGAUCCAUAUGCUGAGGAAAGAAAUAUGUAUUCUGUAGCCCAAGGAAGAAGACACCCGUCCCCACUCUGCUGCAACACACAGCGCUCCGCUCAGGGAUGGGGCAGUGGUGUGCUGUUGUUACCCAAGGGGCUCUCUGUCGGGGCAGGAACAGAGUCUGUUCUGUAGUGUUUGCCAUUUUUGGUGGUGCAGAUGUUCCAUGGCUGAUUUCAAGCUGCCACCAACUUCUCAGCCUAUCCAAGUAUUUGAAAGGAUGUGGGUGUUGUGAUCUAAAGUGUAUCUUUAUUAGAUAUACUCCAAGCCCAAUUAUGCUAUAGUUCUUGCAGACUGAUAGAGGAACUGCCUUGGUGGUCUCGGAUAAGAUCUGGAAGAAUUCUCUGGGCUACCAGACAGUAGAGAUCCUUAUUCUCUACCCAUAACUGUAAUUUCUCUCCAAAAAAACAGUCUCUCUCUCUCUCUCUGCUGAGCCACUUGGAGCUGGGGGUGGACUGACACAACAUCCCUAUGGCCACCACCACUGGGACUGCACUGGGUCAGACCUAAAGCCAGCAAAGCACUGGGUCUCACUCAAAGCCCUGUCAACACUACCUGGCUAUUGCCUAUGUUCACUCGAGGCCCUGGGACCCUCCAGUCAGCAGAUGGCAAAGCCAGCCAGGCUGGUGUCUUUCCCUUCAGGGCAACAAGUUCCCUCAGGCCCUGCUGGGUCCGAAGAUGCUGUCUGCGAGCCAGAGACUGGAGUAAAAAACCUUAGAAAUUUACCUGGUGCUUUAUUCUAAGGCAGCUGAGCUGACACUGAAACCGUGAGACAAAGUGCUUCCCACUCUGCCUUUCCCUUUCCACAGGCAGAGGAGCCUCACCCUGUGGCCACCACCACAGGCCCACAGGGAGUGCUGCCAGGCUACUGUUGAUGUUUACUUAGGGCCCAAGGGCUCCUAAGUCACUUGUGGUGAAUGCUUCCAGGCCUGGGCCUCACCCUUCAGUGCAGUGGGCUCCCCUCUGGCCUAGGGCAGGCCCAGAAAUGCUGUUUAAGAGCCAAGGCCUAAAAUCAGUGACCAUAAGAGGCCAUUUGGUGCUCUCUACCCCAUUGUGGCCAGGCAGGCACCUAAGUUGCAAGACAAAGUCCCUUUUACCUUUCCCUCUACUUUUCUUAAGUAGAAGUCUCUCACCACAGCCACCAUAGCUGGGAAUGUGCUGGGUCUCCCCUGAAGCCAGCAUGUCUCAGAGCCUUACUCCAGGCCCAUCGCAUACUACCUGGGUAUCACUGUUGGCUAUUCAGGGCCCAAGGGCUCUUGAGUCAGCAGGUGAUAAAUCCUGCCAGGUCUAGAAUCUUCCCUUUAAGGCAAAAGAUGCACCCUUCUGGCCCAGGGUAUAUCUAGAAAGCUAAUUCAGGAGCUAGGUCCUGGAAUGGGGGCCUCUCAACUCUGACAGGUGCUCUGUCCUACUGUGGCUGAGCUGCUGUCCAAGAUGUGAGAUAACGUCCUCUUUACUCUACCCCUUCCUGUCCUCAAGCAAAAGGGAGUCACUUGAGUUAGUGCAAGCUGCGUUGCCUGGGGUUGGGGGAGGGGUUGUGCAAACACUCCCUUGGCUGCCCUGGCUGGUGUCUCUCUAGAUCUUGUGUUCCCUGAGUCCACUGGCUCUGAGCCCAGCAUGGCAUUAGGACUUCCCUAGGAGUUGAAGUCCUUAUGGUCUAGACUGCCUUUCAAGUUUAUUUAGGGCCCCAGAGCAUAAUAGCCUGCCAUGCCAAGGCUUGUGAAAACCCAAGCCUCAAGCCUUGUAACUACUGGGAUGGGUGAAGCCCUCUGCGUAGGACUGGCCUAAAUGCUCCCUCCAUGGGCAGGUGUCACAUGAGUUCCACCUGGUUUUGUUUUCUGCUGUGACAGGGCAGCACUGAGUCCAAGGCAAAGUCCCACAGUUGCUGCAUUCUCCCUCCCCUAGAUGCACAGAUUCUCUCUCAGCCCCACAGCGGUGACUGCUGGGGGAGGGGAAAGGGCAGGGGUGACAUUGGUGUUUCAAGACUGUCUCUCCUACCCUCCUCAGUGCCUCCUUCAGCGACAUGAAGUUAAACCACCCACGUCCUGUGAGUCCUUGCCUGAUUUUUGGUUCUUAUGAAGAUGGUUUUCUGGUGGAGACAGUUGUUACAUUUGAUUUUCUUGCAGGGGGAAGGAUUGGUAGAGACAACUAUGAGCCAUCUUACUCUGCCCCUCUUCCCUCACUUAACUUUACUUCCUAAGAGCCUGUUUCCAAAUACAAUCACAUAGGGUGUUAGGGCUCCAAGUAUGAAUUUUGGGGAGACACAAUUUAGUUUAUAGCAUUUGGACUUGGUGGGGGGAGAGAGAGAGAACAUUAACAGGAAGUUCACAGUGUAAGCAACAGUAUGGAGGUGGGAAAGUUCAGCUCAUGGAUAGAAAAAAUUGAUCCAAUUGAGCAGGGCCCACAGGGAGAUGUGGUGGAGUGGUGAGAGGUGGGCUGGUGAGAGGUGAGCCACAUCCAAAGAACCUUGAAUGCCAGGCUGAGGUGGAAGGCAUUUCCUAUUGUGUAGAAGGUGCCAUGAGGUGGUGGGGAGGGUAACACGAUGAAAGGAUAUUUGGGAGGAUGGAUCUGGCAUCAGUGAUGGCUGGGGGUAAAGAAUAAACAAAGCUGGAGGCCGGGAACUGGACAUAUGGCCCAGAGUUCAGGCGUAGGCUGUUCAAAGGCAGUUUCCACACUGAGUUCCGAUGUGGAUCCAAGCAUGCAGUGGGUAGACGAUUUGGAAAAGCAAAACCAUUCCCUUCCCAUUACCACACAGUUUCCCAGCUGAGCUCAUCACCAGAGUCCUACAAAUCAGACAGUCAAACUACCCCAAACUCUGUCCCUAGAAGCUGUGGCCCACAGGGAGCCCUUAUCCAGCUGCAGCCCAAGGACACUGCAGCCUGAGCAGGACUGCACCUGUUCCCUCCCAGGAGCCUCAUCUCUGUCUAGCCAGGCUUUGAUUUCAAAUGCCCUCAGCUUUGACUUUGAAAUCUGUUGGGUGAGAUUCAUGAGAGCUCUGGCCUUCUUUGGGUUAGGGAUUUUUAAAUAGUUUUUUCAAGCAGGUAGUAGAUCAACUCUACCUGCUUACUUCUGUGUGCAUCUCUUGUUCCCUGGCCCCAGAUCUUUUUCCUUGGUUUAUCCUCUCGUUGUGUUGCAGCACAGCUUCCAGUGGCUUCCAGAGAAAGAAUGAAUGGAAGCCAAGCUUUCUGACCCUCAUGAAUUUUAGGAUGUCAUUGUUCUACCGCAACUCCUGAUUAGUAGUUUGACUGGAUGUAAUGCUGUAAUUUAAAUGUACCUUCUCCUCACAUUGGGAAAUAUUGCUCUAUUACUUUCUAGUUCCCAGUGUUGUUGGGAAGAAGCUGGUGUCAUGCAGAGUCUUGGCUCUUUACAUAUGACGUGUCUUUUCUCUCUGGAAGAUUUUAGGAUUUUCUCUCUUUGGGUUCUUGGAAUUUCCCAAUGAUAUGCCUUGUUGUAGGUCUUUCUUCGUUCACUGUGCUAGUCACUUGGUAGACUCUUGAACUAGAAAAUUAUGUGAUUCUGUUGCAGGAAGCCACCAGCAGGUUCAUGUAAGCUGGGUAAUUGCAUUCUUUUCUUCCAAGGACAGAGGUAUCAAGGCCCUGGGAACCUUAUAAGUGGAUGUAGGGAAAGGGGGCCUGAGGUGAAUCCAACAAAGCUGCAGCACCCACUGAGCUCAUGUCCCAGGGCUAGGUUCUGCCUGAGGACAAUAGACAUGGGUGAGGCCCACUUCCUGCCCAGUCCCAUAGUUGGGCUCAGGACACACAUGGUCCAGGAGGCCCCGGGUUACAUUUACAUGCACCUACCUGUAUGCAGCAUUCAGUGAGCCACAGGACAACUUAGGGAAGGGGGCAGCUCCAGAGAGCAGGAUAGGAGGUAGAUAAAUAAUCAUGGGAUGUGGAGUGGCCUUGUGGGGAAGGGACAAAGGUAGGGCUGUGUGUGUGUGUGUGUGUGUGUGUGUGUGUGAUGCAUAUUGGGAAAAUGGAGAGAACAUUUUGUCUGCCCCCUUUUCUGGGCACUGCACCCCUUUUCUCAUGAAUAGUUUUUCUUCCCAUCAUGGACUGAAAGUCUCUCUCCUCCAAAUUCCUAUGUUGAAGCCCUAACCCUCUGCAUGGCUGUAUUUGGAGAUGAGGCCUCUAAGAAGUCAUUAAGGUUAAAUGAGGUCCUAAGGGUGGGGCUCUGAUUCAGUAGAAUUAGUGUCCUUAUAAGUCGAGACAUCAGAGAGUGCCCUCACUCACUCUCUCUGCACAAAUACAAAGAAGAGGUCACGUGAGCACACAAUAUGGCAGCCACCUACGGGACAAGAGAAGAGGCCUCAGAAUGAAACCUACCUUGCUGGUAGUUUGUUCUUGGAUUCCCCAGCCUCCAGAACUGUGAGAAAUAAAUGUUUGUGGUUUAAGGCA